rnacentral:lncRNA from 1 species
UUAUAAGCUUGUAACCAGAGACAGGUGGUAACAGAAAAUGGAAUGUUCGGUCAAGAGAAUAUGAUUAUGAGAUGAGCUAGAGAUUUGUCCUAUGUUUAGCAACACUAAUUGAGAUGACUCUAAACAAUGUGGUGAAAUUUUUCAUUGCCCUCUACUUUCGACCAUAGUUUAUAUUGUUGCCAAAGAAAAAAGUACGAAACCGAGUUCGUGAUCAAGACAUAACAAACUCAUCCACAUGAUCCCGAUCUUUUGGGACCGGUGUGGUUUCUUGAGAUAUAGUGUCUGAGGAUAAUGAAGGAAUAACAUAGAAACACUGCAUAUGAAAUCAAUGCCAGCCCAAGGAAACAUUUGAAAGAUGCCUUGACAAAUUGUUGGUGUUUUAAGCGGAUCAUAGGCCUAACUAUAUCUUGGAUUUGAAAACAGAUUUGGGCAGGGAAAAUGACUAAUCAUGAGAAACAACUCUGAAAUCAAGAGCACUUAUGACGAGGCGAGGGUUUAUGUCAGUUUUAGUCAGAGAUACAGCUCCUGAAAUCAUGAGGAAGAAAUGAGCAGGUUUUUUAAAAUAUAAGAUUGUGGUAAAUUUACUUUCCAUGAGAUUUAGUUACAAGAUUGUUAACGCGUGCAUGAAUAUGACCUAGAUUUGUUUGAUUUCCAAGAAACCCCCAUAUUUGAGAGUAAAGAAUUACUGACCCAUCAGCUUGGUCAUAAGUUUGCGGUAAAGUUGCUAUCUAUGAGAUUGAGGGAGUGUGUAGCCUAAACAUAUGUUCACUUUAUUGGUUAAAAAGUCAUGCCUACUAUUUUGGUAUUGCAUAUUUAAAUAACCUCAGAUUUCUGUAAGUUGUCCAGAGACUUAUAAGUUUUGUAUUGUAGAUAAUGUUAUAAGUUUUGUAUUUUCGAAUAUAGUACGUAGAAAGCCCUGCUUCUAUGAGUGUUAUGCAUUCCACUUUAGAAUCCUGGACUAGAGAUAAUUGUUGAUUUCCUUUUUCCAGUAGUGUUUCAUAUCUAUUUUCCGGAAGUGAUAAUUAAUUCUUCUUUUUUUCUCCAGGCUGCAGUUUACUUCAAUAAAAUCCAGUGUUUUUGCUUUGAGGAGCAGCGCCUUCUUCCGGGGGAGCAGAUUGACAUGCCUGUAAGUAGCGUUGUAUGAAUCAGUAAUUGUUUUCGAAGGAAAAUCAUUCUACUAAGGGACAUCUUUCUUUUGCAGGUGUUCUUUUAUAUCGACCCUGAGUUUGAAACAGAUCCAAGAAUGGAUGGUAUCAAUAACAUAAUUUUGUCCUACACAUUUUUCAAGGUUUCAGAGGAAUAAAGAUGAUCUGCCAUUUCAAUAAUUGUGAAGAUUGUCACAAAGUUACAUAAGCGACCAUACUCAAAACAUCAAGGAAGAAAGAGGACAACAGAAGAUCUUUAUAUGUCAAUAUUUGGUGCUUUUUAUUUUAAAAUUCAUAUUUAUUUCAGAUCACGUUUCCUCAGUAGGUUACACGAGAUUUCAUGACAUGAAAAACUGAGGACAACAUGCAUUGGAAAGAUUUAAAGGAAGAGAUCAAGAUUUUGACAAUAACACUACAUUGGUUGGAAAUACUAGAUAUAAUGUAUUUUUUAUCAAUUUGAAAAUGACUAGAGACAAUGAAUAAUAUGUCGGUGAAUUUUAUUCUUCUCAUACAUAACUUAUGCAUUGUUCUCAAGUAGCGUACAUGAGCUUAGUCAAGUUGUCUAGAGCAGAUGUACUCCCCACUCUACACUUAAGGUUGAACUUUCAUGGCAUCUUGGUAGUGUGUUUGUGUAUGAGAAACUCCCUCACCCUUAUAGUUUAGACUAUCGUUUGCAUUAAAAAAGAAUCGAAGUCAAAACCAAUUUAAUUACUAAAAACUCUCUCUCUCUCUCUCUUCCGCCCCCAACUCCCCCGGUGGCCCCUGCGGCACGGGCAGUAUUGGAUUUUUAACACUAUUCAUAAAAAUAAUUUUAGGAAGUUAUAAAGAGAGUUCCCAUUUUUUCUCCAAGUUAAGCAACAUAUCCAUAUUAUGCCUCAGCACAUGAAAUAUAGGCAUUUGGCUAGUCUAGCCUUAAAUGGUAGAAAACAAAAUUCCAGGACGAGUAUUGCAAACAAGUGCAAGGAAGAAAAACACAGAAAGAAAAGAUUUUUCUAACUAUAUGCUAAUUACUAAUGUCAGUACAAGUAGCUGUAGGAUGGAUCACACUACUGUUUGAGCUCAAAUGCCAAUAGGAGAACAAACAGAAGCAAAAUCUUUCUGCUCUUUUGUUCGAAACGAUUUUCCAUCUUCAUGCAUUCAAGGGCCCAUACUGAUCUUCUUCUUACCUUUGUUCUGCUUUCCAUUUCCCUUCUUGUUCUCUCUGAACACAUGGCCACCAGAGCUGCGGUCUCUAGAUGGAGUUGCAUGUAACAAAUGCUUCACAUCAAGUACACCAUUUCUAAAGCGACCUUCACUCGCUUUCAGAACCCUGUUCUCAGGCCUUUGCUUCUCCAUUGAUCUUUUAGAACCACCACUGAAAUUGCCACCAAAACGUCCAAGAACCAUAUUCUAUGCAGAUUGAUUAUUGGGUUAGUAAAAGUUGACCAUGCUUCCCCAUUCAACAAGGGCAAUGGAAGAGAAUAAUCACCUGUUCAAGCAUUUUUUUCUCCCUUUCCUUUUGAUUCUUCAUUACCACUCUUGCUAUACUUAGAGGAAGUCUCUGCUUCUUUGGAGGCUGUUUCAAGGGCAAGCACACAUGAAUAUUUCUGGAAUGCAUGCAAAUGAAUAUUUCUGGAAACUGGAAAGCGUGCAAAUGAAUAAAUACACAACCAUAGUUGAAGGAAGCAGUGCUACUAGGAGCUCAGUGUACAACUGAAGGAAACCAAUGUCCUAUUUCUGUUAAUGAGCUGUGUGCUUUACACUGAUAUUAGCACCAUCUGUUUUAUUGAACUAAAGUAAUAACCUAAACAACGGUAUGUCACAGCCAAUCACCAGCCACUGAAAACGCGAUUGGAACCACCGCAUCCACAUUAACAGAACAAAACCAUCAUCAUAACAGGCAACACACCUUAAAAACUAACUGCUAUAAGCUACAUGAGCCCUUCAAUCCACAUUAAGCUAAAAUGAUGGACCAUCUCUAAACUCAUUAGAACUCAAAGCUUAAUAUUAAUUUCAAGAAUGAACUUUUUCCAUGGUCAAUUAUCCAAGCAAGUAUUUAUACCUUAUGAGGUACCUUAGCCUUUCAAAUCAUCAUGGAUGGGUUGAAUUUAGGAGGAGAUGAGUCAUCAAUAAACUAGCCCGAAUAGGAUUUACAUGCAAAAGAUGCUAGAGGAUUCAAUUGUAUCAUGAUGAUUGUGACAUGAGAUUUUCGAUUGAAGGAGGUAAUUAUCAAACUGGCUACAGGUACAUGACAACAAAGCUUGUAAAGUGUGGAAAUAAUAGGCACUAUGGAAAUUCUCCCGCUCACUUAUCUUUCCAAUAGUGAAUCCUUUUCCCAUUCCCACAACAAACCAGAACUCAAAAGAAAGCAGUGCAUAGCUUAGCUUAAUAUGUUACUUUUGAAUAAAAUCAGAGCAAAGGUCCAUACCUUUCCUCCUAGAGAAAUCACUUUCCUAUUCUCCAACUCCUUCCUUUGCUUCCAUGUCAUAUGAGAAGAACCUGCAAUGCAAAAAUUUGAAGUGAAAAAGCAGACUAAAACUAGCUUUAACACAACAGAAAAGGCACACAUUCAAACAUAUGAAGUUGUUCUAUCAUAAUACUUACUUAAUAAGUUCAAUGCACAAAUCAUGAAGAUUGAUAUCUCAUUAAUACUUUCCUAUCUUUUAUAUAUAUAUAGGGGGCGGAUCAAUGACACUAUGUUUUUGACACAAGUUUUGACACAAAUUGUAAUCAAGUAUAACUUUAUUUCCCGGCUCAUGAAAUGCCUCACGCACAACCUAAUAUGGUUGAAUCCAAUUUCCCCACAUCCUAACUAAGCAAGGUGUAGCAGUUUAUUAUAGAUUAAGACAUAUUUUACUCAUCACAUCAUGGCUUUUCUACUGUAAGACCUCUUCCUAAGAAUCUUCCAAAAUAUAAAUAUGAUUUUGCAGAUAUGUACACAUUCUCUCAAGAAGGAAAACUUUAGCAAUACUAUUGUUUCACAAAGAUAUAAACAAAAAUAUCUCUUCACUUCCCAGUAAUAAUAUAUACCAACAAUUAGUAUAGAUGAUUACGAGAAAAAACCUCCAUGGUAACAGGUGGACUGGUAAAUGGUACCCCUUCACACUGUAAAUAAAUCUUGAUCAUUCAUAGGGUAAAGGAGUUUUCCCUCAUGCUUUAAAUUUUGUUAACAACUAUAUCCAUUUUGAACUGAACAACGACGCAAUUGCAGUUUUCUUAACUAACUAUUUACUAGAAUAUAACCAUGCCUCAAGUUUAAUUGUGACACCUCAAAGGUUCCAAAUCUUCCGUACACCUUGAUACCAAUGAGACCCAUGGAUUUCAGAAUCCAAAUUCAGUUGUUAAUGAACCCUAAUUAGACAGAACUGUAUGUAAAUUUAGAAGAAUCAAGUUCAAACUCAUGAAAGAUCCCUCCAACCUUUUGAAUUCUAGUGCAUCUAACCAUGUAUGACAUAUUCCAUAACCUCUUGAUUAAUAGCUCUUAUGAAACAUCUUUGGUGGACCCUAACUCUCCAACUAGAGCAUCUCGAGUCUAGUCAAUUUUUGAUUCGUAGUUUGAUUAAACUAAGACUUUAAGUCCAUCAAAUGCCAUGAUAGACUUGCAAAGCAAGAAUGCAGUCCUGGACAUGCAACAGAACUUGAUUAAGCAAGAAACUAGCUCCAUAUUCACAUGCUUAAGAGAUUGUUGCUAUAUAAGCAAACAUAUACUUCACUCUGUUAGGUGUCAGUGCUGAUUUCCUGAUUCAAUGACAAUCUCAAAUAAGCUCGAAAUACAAUCCAUUCACUUCUAACACAUAUCCAUAAUCACAGCACAGAGAACACAAGUUCAUCAAGAAGUUUGAAAUUGAUUUCAAGAUACUGCUGAGAAUCUAAAACUGGAGCAAUGUACUUUUUGACACUACAGUUUCUUAAAUAAUUCAGGUCAUCCAAGCCCGAAACUGACCAACAUAAUCACUAUAUGCCAAUCCUUUACAAACUAGCAUGUCUGCGUCAUGUAGGACGAACCUAGUUUCAUUACAACUAUUUUCUCAUAUUAUGCUGGUUGAUUUUACAAGGAAGAUGCAAAAUAAUCAGUUUAGAAUAAUUCAAAAUUUUUUUUAUCAGUUUUCACAAUAUACAUAAUAUUAUCACUGUAUCAGCAAGAAUCACAAAAUUAAGAGCAUAGUUAAACAAACAGAGCUACCAAUAGGGUUACAGGUGCUUUUUUCCGUUGACAACCUUCCAUUAAAACAACAAAAGAAAUUGGAUGAAUCAUGAAUGUGAAAAACAAGAGACAAAUACACAUACCCAAAAGCUCAAUCUGUUUCGAAAUCUUCCUCAUGUCCAUUUUUUGGAUCUCGGUGGCAAUUUCUUGGUUAUCAGUGACCAUGUUUUGGUCCUUCCUAUCCUUUUGUCUCGUAAAGGGUCUCCCUUUGUUUCUUCCCUUAUUCUUAUGCAUAUUUUGGUCUUCUUCGAACAAUUUGAAGGAACAAAGUAUUGCACAAUUUUGUAAAACCCAAUAACCUGCCAGGGAGAAACACAGCCCUCAGAGGUUGAGGUCAGACUACAUAGCCUUUUGUGUGUGUACAGUGUGUGUGUGUUUGUGUCUUCACAUUUCAUUUUCUCAAAUGAAAACCACAAAUUAAAAUUAAAAUUAAAUGAAAUACCUAAUGCACUUUACCAGCCUAUAGGAUGAAGCACGAAUUUGAAAUAAAUAAAUAGAAAAAAUAACCUCAAGCACUUCCACCAAACGAACCACGGAAGGUGAAGCACAAUUUUAAAUUUAAAAAAUAUAUAUAUGAAAGAUGACAGAAUGUGAUUCCACUCUGUAUGUUUUGAUCAAAACACAACAAUCAAACAUACAGAAAAACAAAAUUAACAAAAAAACCCAGGUAAAUGACAUGAAAUUUAUACAAAGAAAUGCAUCGAUUUCAAAGGCAAAACCCAAAAACCUAUGCACAUCUCCCUUUUUUCCUUUCUAAGAGUCUUUCUCAAACACUCUGCUUUGCCACAGCAAUGGUAAAACCCAAAAACAGUCCAAAUUCAAUCAACCUAAAUUAAAACAGUCCAAAAACACGAACUCUGAAACACCCACUUAUUCAAACAGUAAAAACAAAGAAAUAAAAUCAGAAAUAAAGAAAAAUUCAGAAACUUCCAUACCUUUAAUGGAAAGCCAGAGGCAGUGAGAUGAAAGUGGAGGGUGGCAGUACUAGAGAACUGAUGCAGUGAAAUUGAGAGAGGAGGGAGGAGGCGGAGCAAGAGUUGAGAGAGAGUAUGAAUCGCGCGAAAAAGAAAAAAAGUGAAAACUAAAACGAGCGGCAGUACUAGAGAACAUAUGUCAGUUUAUGAGUUCCCCACAACAAUGACAGCAUACUAUAGAGCCCACUAGGGGUGGCAUUUUAAACCGAAAAACCGAAAAAUCGCAAAAAUCAACCGAUAUUUUACCGCAAUAAAACCGCAAUCGCGGUAAACCGAACCGCAAUCGCGGUAUUAAGAACCGAACCGCAUUUACGGUUGCGGUUGCGGUAUUUGAUUUUCAAAAUUUGCGGUUACCGCAAACCGCAAAGUAUAGCCGCACGGCUAUACUCUAUGAAUAAUUAAGUAAAAUUGUAAACCCUUAUCUUCUCUUGAAUUGGUGGAAAGGGAACCAAACAAGAUAUCAUAUUCUUUCACAAGUUGCCAAGGAUAUCUUUGCAAUUCCAAGUUCUACGGUUGCUAGUGAAAAUGCUUUUAGCCUAGGCAAGAGGAUUGUGGAUCCUUUUAGAAGCUCUUUGCAUCCUAAAAUGGUAGAGGCAUUAGUGUGUACUAGUGAUUGGCUUAGAGCGGACGAAUUUUCCUUUUACAAGGAACCAACAGAUGAUGAGGUUGAAUUCUACAAGGAAAUGGAAGAUAUGACAACUUGUAAGUAAUUAAUUUAUUUAUGCUAAUGUUAUUUGUGCUUCUUCUUAUAAUAAAAUGUACUAAACUAUGUUGUUUUAUUUGUAGAUAGCAUUGGUGCUCAAACAAUACAAAGGGGUUCUUCAAAUCCACUCACCACCAACACUUGAGUUUGUAACAUUGGUGUAUUGCAUUUUUCCUUUUAGUUUGUAACUUUAAUUAACUGUGAAUUGGAUUUUUCUUUUUAGUUGUAACUUUAAUUCAUUUUGCUUUUGGUUUGUAAAUUUAAAGGAUUUGGAAUUGGAAUGCUUGAGAAGUUUAACUUUAAUUGGAAUGUUUGGAAUUGUAACUUUAAUUUUCUUAGGUUGUGAAUGCUUGAGAAUUGGAAUCGAUUGUGAAUUUAUAUAUGCUUGAGAAAUUGAGGUUGUGUAUUUAUUUAUUUAGGUUGUAAAUUUAUAUUUUUGUGAAUGCUUGAGAAUUUGCGGUUUUAAACCGCAAAUUCGUGGUAACCGACCGCAUUUUUGCGGUUUACCGCAAUGCGGUAAACCGCAAAACGCGGUCGGUUUGCGGUUUCAAAAAUCACCAAACCGCAAAUAGUCGGUCGGUUUGCGGUUUGAGUAAAAAUUCGCGGUUACCGAACCGCAACCACCCCUAGAGCCCACCAACACAAAAAAUAUAGGGAAAUAGCUCUAAAUGCCACAUUUUUUUAUAAUUUUUUUUGAAAAUACCACUUUUCUCCAAUUUUUUUGCAACUAUCACCUAUAAAUAUAUAUUUGUUGUCCACUUAUUGCACACAUAUCACUUUUCUCUGAAAAUUAGUUCUCUCUCUCUCCAUCUAGCUAACUACGCAUCUUCACACGAAGAAGAAGAUGAAGAACAACCUACAGAACCCACAGCUUUGGCCCCAAAACCCAGUUCUUCCUCUUCCUCUCUAUUUUCUUCUCUACCCAAAUCCAAACCCCAAUUUCGUCUCUCUUUGAAUCCCUUCUACAACCUAAACAAACCCAAACAAAACCAUUUUUUCUGAAUAUGACAGCAUGUGUUGGCAUUAGGUGGCCAUUGUUUGAGCAUUUUGGUCCAAUUUUGGGGGGUUUUGAAGUCUGGGUUUACAUGCCCUCUUCAAGAACAGCUUCUCCAGAAAAUGAAUUGUUGGGAAUAUGUAAGUUUUGAUGUUAAAUUGAACUAACUACGCAUCUUCUCACGAAGAAGAAGAUCAAGAACAACCUAAAAAACCCACAGCUUUGCCCUCAAAACCCAAUUCUUCCUCUUCCUCUUUGUUUUCUUUUCUACCCAAAUCCAAACCCCAAUUUCGUCUCUCUUCGAAUCCCUUUUGCAACAUAAACAAACCCAAACAAAACCAUCUUUUCUGAAUAUGAUAGCAUGUGUUGGCAUUGGGUGGCCAUUGUUUGAGCAUUUUGGUCCCAAUUUUGGGGGGUUUUGAAGUCUGGGUUUACAUGCCCUCUUCAAGAACAGCAAUCGUAUUGUGAUUUUAUUGCGGUUGUAUUGUAGUCGUAUUACUUUUGUAUUGCUAUGGUAUUGUUGUUAUAUUGAUUUGUUUUUUUGGUGUUUUAUUGAUAUGUUACUGUAAUUUAAUAGGAAUAUAUGUUGAUAUUAUUUUUCUUUAUCUGCUUGUGAUUUGAGUAGGAGUUGAGAUUAUUCCUGGCUGAAGUAUUAUUUACGAUCUCUCUCUCUCUCUCUCUCUGCUCUUUGUAUUUUUCUCAACAUUUAUGUGUUAAUUUAAUGUCUGGCAUUGUUUUGGAACCAUAAUCAUUGUCAAUCUAAUUGUUUCUUUAAAAGAUUGCUGUGAAAUUGUUACUUCAUUUUCUUCUUUCCUUCGUUUUAAGAUAUUUUUGUUUGGAGAAAAAGAACUCUGUUUUUGUAAUCUAAAAGACUAGGUAUCUAUGUCCCACAUCUUGGGACUAAUUGAAUGUUCUUGUUGAUAUUGAAAGGAAGCUGGCAUCUUUGGUUGAAAAAAUGAAGGUGUUACUGCUGAAGUAAUUUCUACUUGAUUUCAAUUUGCCUAUAAAACUUGUUGACUGGUGCUCAACAAGUUGGUUUUUGUAGUUUGAGUUGGCAUAUAAUUUAGGUUCGUUUUUUUCAUGUGAGUGUUUUAAUGGAUUGGAUCUUUUACCUGUAUGUUUGUCAAAUCUCAAUCAUGUUUCUGAGAUGAGUUGUGCAGUAGUGUUGGUUGAAAAUUAAUAUGUUAUUUAUUCAUUAAAAGCAUAUUGUUUCCUGAUGGUGAGUACUUGACCAAAUUAUAAUUUGCUGCAGUUUUGUCUUGACAAUUUAUGUUUCUCUCUCUUUUUCUUUUCAAAUUGCACAAGGAAAAAGCCACACCCAACUCAUUUCCCUGUGAAGAACAAAUUUGAGGUUAACAAUUACACAAUGUGUUUUAGCUGGUUUGUGCAGACAUUGAUGUGCAAGUCAUACACUGGCAUUGGAGACCAUUUUGUGCAUAAUGUAAUGUGUAGACAAGGAGUUCUUUGAGAUGCCUUCUGAAGAGUAAAGCAAAGCUUCUAUUAUGAAAAUGCUAAGCAAACUUGCAGCAAACUGUACACAUCAUUGAUUAUACUUCUUAUUAGGCCCUAAGAAUUAGUAAGGACAUAAGAUAUCAUGUAUUCUUCUUGUGGAGCCGUAUGUUUCUAAUAUUUGUGUAAUGUACUUGAUAUUAUUUUUGAGGUCAUUAUUAUAAUGAUAUGAAAUUUUCAUACAUGGUCAUUAUUUUUUAUGUACUAUUUAUUAUAUGUAGCAACUGAAUAUUGUAAUAGUUCAACAAUUAGAACAAUAUAUAAUAUGGGAUGGGAAAGAGAGUACAAAGACGUCCAUACAGUACUUGUUUAUUGUCAUUUUAUUACUUUUGCAUUGGUUGUCUAUUGCCGCUUUAUUGAUUGUUUAUUGCUUCAUAUUGCUUUUGUAUUGCAUGUAUAUUGCCACUUUAUAAUCUACAUGACAUUAUAAUGGAGUCGAAGCAACUAUGGAUAUCGUUAAAAUUAACCAUUCUUAUAUUAUCGUCUUUUAUGUUUCAAAACUGUCGUAUACGUGACUGCCAUAUCUUGCUCAAGAUCCCAAAGUUUUCAAGUAAAUUGAAUUAAAAUUUCAUUUAAUGGUAUCAAAAUAAUUACAUGGUCUCCUAUACAAUAAUAUUCAAUACAAGUUUUUUAUUUCAUGUAAUCUUAAAAAAUGACCAAGUAUCUCAAGAAUUAACAAAUUGAAAACAAAAAUCUCCUAUUUAAUUGUUGAAUUUACAUGAAGCAUCAUCCCUUUUACUCUUGUAGCUGCUCAAGCCUAGUCCCCCUUCAAAAGUCAUGAUCCAAAAUCCACUAGCUGACUAGUCUCUCCAAUCUAUCAAAAUAUUUCAUUCAUUUAUAGAAUAUAAGAUAAACAAACCGAAAAACAUGAAGCUCUCGAAGGCAAAUAUUUCAUUCAUUGAUAGAAUCUAAGAUAUUUAAUGAGUAUACUUCCAUACAAAGUCAUCAAUUAUUUUCAUCAAAUGCAGAAUGACAUGUCAACCAUUGUGUUUUCACCCCACAAAUUUGCUAAUUUGAAGCACAAUGACAUCUUCUAAAUAUACACUCUAGCUAUGUUCAACUAUAUGUUUGUUAUGUAUAAGCUUUUCAUAAUUUCUUGUCAUUUAAAAACUUUUGUUGGUAUUGAACUCAAGACACCAAUGAAAACAUUUUGAGGCAGUUUGAAUACGUACAACAGAGCAAACUAUCACAAUUGAAGAAUACCCCUUACCCAAGAUGUGUCACAUAGAUACACUGCUGGCAUACAAGACUUUUCAAAUUUUAGACAGCCAAAGUUUAAGUGCAAAAGUAGUAAACUGACAUACAUAAAGUCUGGAUCUUGUUGAUCAAAAAACACUCACCAUGAGUACCUAGUCUUUUAGAUUACAAAACAGAGUUCUUUUUCUCCAAACAAAAAUAUCUUAAAACAAAGGAAAGAAGAAAAUGAAAUAACAAUUUCACAGCAAUCUUUUAAAGAAACAAUGAGAUUAACAAUGAUUAUGGUUCCAAAACAAUGCCAGACAUUAAAUUAACACAUAAAUGUUGAGAAAAAUACAAAGAGCAGAGAGAGAGAGAGAGAGAGAGAGAGAGAGAGUGAUCGCAAAUAAUACUUCAGCCAAGAAUAAUCUCAACUCCUACUCAAAUCACAAGCAAAUAAAGAAAAAUAAUAUCAACAUAUAUUCCUAUUAAAUUACAGUAACAUAUCAAUAAAACACCAAAAAAAUCAAUAUAACAACAAUACCAUAGCAAUACAAAAGCAAUACGACUACAAUACAACCGCAAUAAAAUCACAAUACGAUUGCUAUUCUUGAAGAGGGCAUGUAAACCCAAACUUCAAAACCCCCCAAAAUUGGACCAAAAUGCUCAAACAAUGGCCACCUAAUGCCAACACAUGCUGUCAUAUUCAGAAAAGAUGGUUUUGUUUGGGUUUGUUUAGGUUGCAAAAGGGAUUCAAAGAGGGACGAAAUUGGGAUUUGGAUUUGGGUAGAAAAGAAAACAAAGAGGAAGAACUGGGUUUUGAGCGCAAAUCUGUGGGUUUUGUAGGUUGUUCUUGAUCUUCUUCUUCGUGAGAAGAUGCUUAGUUAGUUCAAUUUAACAUCAAAACUUACAUAUUCCCAACAAUUCACUUUCUGGAGAAGCUGUUCUUGAAGAGGGCAUGUAAACCCAGACUUUAAAACCACCCAAAAUUGGACCAAAAUGCUCAAACAAUGGCCACCCAAUGCCAACACAUGCUGUCAUAUUCAGAAAAGAUGGUUUUGUUUGGGUUUAUUUAGGUUGCAGAAAGGAUUCGAAGAGAGACGAAAUUGGGGUUUGGAUUUGGGUAGAGAAGAAAACAGAGAGGAAGAGGAAGAACUGGGUUUUGAGGGCAAAGUUGUGGGUUCUGUAGGUUGUUCUUGAUCUUCUUCUUCGUGAGAAGAUGCGUAGUUAGCUAGAUGGAGAGAGAGAGAGAGAGAGAGAACUAAAUUUCAGAGAAAAGUGAUAUGUGUGCAAUAAGUGGACAAUAAAUAUAUAUUUAUAGGUGAUAGUUGCAAAAAAAUUGGAGAGAGGUGGUAUUUUCAGAAAAAAUUAUAAAAAGGGUGGCAUUUAGAGCUAUUUCCCAAAAAUAUAAAUAAACGGAAGAACUUGAAACCAUUACCCAAUCAAAAAUCUUCUAACACAGCUUUAUUUACCAAAAAUCUUCCAACACAAUAAUGGACGACAACUUAGAUGGAACAGCAGUUUCAAAGAAUAAGAUCUUUUUUUUUUUUUUCAUUCUUGGGAAAAGAGAAGCCGCAUAUUUGGAGCUAAUGAUACCUUCCCUCUUUUCUUGUCUUGUAACUAAAAGAGAACUAAAACUAAAGUCCAAAGGAAUUAUGUUUGAGCUUGAAGACAACAAGGUUAGGACAAUGGAAAAAUCAACACGGGACUUGACUUGGGGACUUGGGUUGCAACAUAUAUAUAUAUAGAUGUAUGUAUAUAAAUAACCAGAUUGCCCUAGCAGGUUUUGUUCUUGAGAUUUUGGAACUGUACCAAACUAUACAAUGAGUAAAUCUACGAACAAUGAUGGUUGGGUAAUCAAAAAGCAUCUAGGACAGCCAUGUUUCAGAGAAACAAAAACAGAGAGAGAAGUAUCUGACCCAAAGGCCAAUUGAAAACCCCAGACCAAGCUAGGGAGAAAACAAAACCUUGCCAAAAAGCAGGAAGAGACAAACCCAAUACAAAUCUAGGAGCAAAACUCUCUCCGUCUCUCUGUCUCUCCCGUGUCUUCCUCCUAAAGCCCCAAGAACACAAAGCCCCCAAUCUCAUAGAAACCAAAAAACUAAUUUCAUAACAUAUAUAAACCCAAAAAUCAUAAAUGUAAUGAAAAGAUGAACUCACUGAUGAGUAGCUGAUUGCUGUUAGCAAUUAACUUCCUUGAUUGAGACAGGAAUUUUGAAAUGCAGGGGGAGGAAGAAGAAAAGUGAGAAGAGCAGUCUGACUUUGAGAGUGAAGGUCACGAUAUCUAUUUUGUGAGAGGGUCAAACGUUGUCAUUUUGUAAAAUAUUUAGGGGCAUUAAGGAAUACCGAAGCCCAUUCCAAAAAGAGGAUAUUAGUGAAAAAAACAUGUGCGCCGGGGGCAAAGCCGCGUAUUUUGUAAAGGGUAAACUACCAAAAACUCUCCUAGACUAUAUUGACUAUCGAAAUGUACCCCUUGGAUUAUUUUUUCAGCCAAUUCAGCCUUCGAAUUAAAAGAAAUCCUCAAUUUCACCCAUGCCGUUAGUUUUUCCCUAAUUCCAUCUAAAUACCCGUAAAAAACACCACGUGAAAGGCACGUGAGCCGUCUGAUGAGGGUAAUAUCACCAUUCUAUACCCUCAGCCCCCUUUGACUGAAUCGUUCGUAAGGUCAAUUUCCAAAUCAGAGUUAGGGUUUUCGAAAAAAAGGUGAGAGUGAAAGAGAGAAAGCGACUGAAAGAUUCGAAAAAAGGUGAGAGUGAAACAGAGAAAGCGACUGAAAGAUUCGAAAAAGGGUGAGGAAGAUAGACUGCAGCUGAGAGAUUCGAUUUUGGGAGAUAUUUUGUGACUUGAAGAUUCCAAACGAAGGUGCGACGGUAAAGGCAGAAUGAAAAUCAGAGAUGGUGGGGAAGCUCCCAUAUACAGUAAGUACGCUUAGUUUAUUUGUUUGAUGCAAUUGUUUGGGUUUGACUAUCGGAUUUCAUUGCUGGACUUGAUGAAAAAGCAUAAUAAAAGGAAGAAAGUGGUCCCUAUGGUUGUUGUUUGUUGACUGAGACUUAGGUUGGGUUGUGAAUGUGAUCCCUAUACAUGUUCUUUGUUUAUUGUUUGUCUGAGUUUGUAUUGUAUUGUAUUGUAUAGGGUAAAUAGUAAUGUACUGUAUAUGGUAUUGUAUAGGGUAGAUAGUAAAUGUAUAUUGUACUAUAUAGGGUAGAUAGUAAAUUAAUGAGGAAAUUUAUUGUUGUGCAUCUAAUCCUGACAUGUUCACACUUGAAGUACACCAUGGGGCUACUUUGUUGAUGGUUUAUAUAUGGGAGGUAUUGUACAAUGGGUUGAUGGGCAAGAUGUAGAUGAGGUUUCAAUGCUUGAGGUAUUUGAACUGGUUAAAUACCUUGGUUAUGAUGAGCAGAACAUUCAAUACUAUUACAAGCACAGGACAAAUGGCUGGGUUGAAAUUAGGACAGAUAAGGAUUAUUUUGGAGCAUUGAAGUUGGUGAAACCGAGCUAGCUGUUUGUGUUAUACACAAUUGACAAUCCAACACCUAGGCCUCUAAAUGUUCAAUCCCCAGUAUUCUCUGCACAAGGUGAAAAUGCUAAACAUUAUGAAGACGAAGACAUUGCUCAUGGAUAUGAUGGUGAGGAAGAAAAUGGGCAAUAUGAUUUCGUGGAUGUUGAGAUAGAUGAAGAAUUUGGUGAGGUAGAGGAAGAAGUUGAGGUAGAAAGUGAUGAAGUUGAGCAAGGUGGGGAGGAUGAGGAAGAAGAUGGUGAUUUCAUAGAUAGUGAGUUUGAGCAAAGUGAUGAAGAGGGCAACAUGAAUUUUCAUAGGUAUGUUGUAACUGAAGAGCAAGAUAAUGGACAUAAACAACCAGGUGAGGGUGACACUGAUGGUUAUAAUACAUCAGACUUAGAGAGUUUGCAUGAAGAUAGUGAAGAUGAAGAUGGGAAGAAGAGAGGUUUGAGGCAGCCAAAGUUCAAGCAAUACACUAAACAUCAUGACCUUUUAGAUCCAAAAUUCCACUUGGGUUUGGAGUUUCCGAAUAUAUAGGAAUGUAGAGAGGCCAUAAAGUACUAUGCAUGCAGGUGUGCUAGAAGACUAAGGUUUGUCAAGAAUGAGCCUAAUAGGGUGAGGCUGGUAUGUGAUGCUAAUAAGGAGGGUGAUAAGGCAAAGAGGCAUACUAAGAGUGAAAAAGCAAAGAGACAUGCUAAGGGUGAUAAGGCAAAGAGUCAUAGUAAAUAUGAUAAGAGUAAGAGACAUUUUAAGGGUGAAGAAGGUCAAGAGGGUGAAGAUGAAUAUGAAGAUAAACUUGAAGACUGUCCUUGGUUAUUAUAUGCUGCACAUGUUGGGAAAGGGCUCACUGUUAGAGUGAAGACAUACCAUCCAAUUCAUACAUAUGGCACAUCUCAAAGAACUAGGUUUGCCACUUCACAAUGGUUGGCUAAAAGGUUUGAUGAGGAUCUCAGAACUAAUCCUAACAUGUCAGUUGCUGAGUUCAUGACAUUAGUUAGGAAACAUUACAGUACAGAUGUUACUAGGGACCAAUGCUACAAGGAAAAGAAUUUGGCAAAGGAGAGGAUUCAAGGAAGCAUUGAAGAACAAUAUUCAAAGCUGUGGGAUUAUUGUGAGGAGCUUAAGAGGCAAAACCUAGGUAAGCGCAGUUUUAGUGAAGACAUCAUUGAGGGGAGAUGAUCCAGUUUUUGAGAGGCUUUAUAUAUGUUUUGCUCAAUUGAGGAAGGGGUUUAUUGAAGGAUGCAGAACCAUGGUUGGUUUUGAUGGGGCUUUCAUCAAAGGACAACAUCCAGGACAAAUUUUAAGUGCUGUUGGGAUUGAUGCCAACAAUGGCAUGUUCCCAAUAGCUUUUGCUGUUGUGGAGACAGAAAGCAGAGACACUUGGACAUGAUUUUUAGAGAUUUUCUUCAAUGAUGUUGGGGUAAGAGGCACUGGAAAUGGGUGGGUUUUUAUCACUGACAAACAAAAAGGACUGGGGCAAGCAAUUGAGGCUUUAAAGCCAGAUGCUGAACAUAGGCAUUGUGUAAGGCAUCUGCACAAUAAUUUCAAACUUGCUGGGCAUGGUAGUUUGACACUUAAACAGAGGCUAUGGGCUGCUACUAGAAGUACAACUCUUCCUUGGUGGGAAGCUGAGAUGGACAAUAUUAUGGAAAUGUCUGCCCUAACUCAUGCAUGGGUUCAGGAUAGGCCAGCAAUUCAUUGGAGCAAGUCACAUUUUACUACUGGGCCCAAGUGUGAUAUACUGCUGAACAAUUUAUGUGAGUGCUUCAAUUCAGCAAUUUUGGAGGCAAUAGAUAAACCAAUAAUCACGAUGGUGGAAAGGAUAAGAACCUAUUUGAUGUUGAGAGUUGCAAGACAAAAGGAGGUGAAAUUGACUCAAAGAAUUGGGCCAAGGAUAUUUCAGAUUAUUGAGAAGAAUUUGAAAUAGAGUGGCUCAUGCAUUGCACAGAAUGCAGGUGGAAACAAGUUUCAAGUCACCCAUAUGCUUGGUGGGCAAUAUGCAGUUGAUCUAAAUACUCACUCAUGCUCUUGUAGAAAAUGGGAUCUCUGUGGCAUCCCAUGUUGUCAUGCCAUGUCUGCUAUAUCAAGGCAACAUAGGAGCCCAAUGACUUAUGUGAAUGAGAUGUAUAAGAGAGAAGUUUAUGAUAGGGCUUAUAGCAAUUACAUUUCACCAAUGCCAAGCCAACAAUUAUGGAGGAAAUCAGGGCAUAGGCUAAUUAAACCCCCAUUGUAUCACAAACAGAGUGGUAGGUUAAAGAAAGCAAGGACUAGACCUGCUGAUGAGAUCCCAAAGGGUGCCACUAAGCUUAGGAGAUAUGGAAUUGUAAUCCAUUGCUCAAUCUGUGGAGGAGAAGGCCAUAAUGCUACUAAUUGUGGAAAGGCAGAUGGCAAUAUGGGAAGAGGCAGAGGUAGAGGGAGAGGGAGAGGAAGAGGAAGAGGAACCAGCUCAGUCCAUCAAUCUGAAGAGGAACAGGUAAAUGAUGUGAAAUUGUGAUUAAUUGUGAUUAAUUUCAAUUGUUUUAAUUGUGAUUAAUUUCAUUUGUAGGCAAUUAGAGGGACUGCAGCCACUGCAAGCCAAAUAGCUCCAACCAAUGUUGCUACCCAAUCAAGUGUAACCAAUGUUUCUUCACAACCAGCUCCUUGCAAUUUAGCUUCAUAAGCAGGUCCAAGCAAUGUCACUCAAAACACUUUCAGGCCACAAGGGAAAAGGUUCAAAUCCCCUGCAAAAAGGGCAAGGCCAUGGAGGUAAAAUACAUGAUGGAUUUUGGAAUGUAUAUUUUAAUACAUGGGCUGGUUGAUGUGUGUAUUUUGAACAGAUGGCUCUUUUGGAUGAUUAACCAAGGCUGGAAUGUGUAUUUUGUAGUAGAAGUUUCCCCACUGUAUUUUGAACUAAUGUCUAUUUUGGAUGGAAUUUGGAUGUAUUUAGGUUGGGUUGGAAUGUAUAUUUUGAAUAGAUGGCUCUUUUGAUCCGACCGUCCGAUCUGAACCAAACUUGCAGGACGAGUGUCCUAUACCUUGAAAAACCCAUAGGGACACUACUACAAAAAGUGAAAAAGACGACCAGAAAACAACGACGGUCUAAGUGAAAACCGUCGUGGUUUAUAAAAAGACGACGGUUCUAAAAACACCGUCGUGUAAUACAACCUUAGACAACUAAAAAAUGGAGUUUCAAAUGGCUGUUCAAAAACAACGACGUACAUAAUUAAACAACCGACGUCUAUUUGAAACAGAUUUCCGCAGUGUAAAAUCAAUGCCAACAAAGAACGGCAGAAGUUAUGAAUCGACCGACGUAGAAAGUAAAGACGACGAUUUCAAUAAAAACUGCCGUUUUUACUCAUAAAAUAACACGACGAGGUUUUCGUAUAAGACGCCGUAUAAUUACAAACAAAUCCACGGCUUUAAAAUACAAAAUAUCGCCGUAUUAAAUUAAUUUACAACGACGGAAAAUAUAAAUAUAACGACGUCAUUCUCGUAUAGUUCUACGACGUUAUCUUUAAAUCGUACAAUAAAAUUUAUCGUCGUAUUUAUUCAUUUUAUACGUCGUACCUUUAAUUUUAACGGUCGUCUUAAUAAGAAUUUUUGUUAACAAUUUUUUUCUUUGAUUUUCUUAUCCUACGUCGGUAGAUCUACUUAAUGACAAGAAUUGAAAUAACCACGACGGUUUAUAUAGAACACCGCCGACAUAAUCAGAUUUGUCUGAGAUCCCAAGGGUUACGAAAUCUUACCAGAUGGAACUCUGUUCCACAUCAUAAUCUUAACAGAUGACACAGAUUUGCAAAUAUUGCGUCGUGUUAGUUUACAAAUUCUAGAACAUUAAUUUCCCUCAUUUUAAAUUUCCUCGGGAAAGAAAAAUCUAUUUAUCACGCUUUGGAAUUGAAAACUAAAACUGAAAGAAUACGGGAAAAAAAACUCUAUUUAUAAUUUAAAAUUAAAAUCCACGUCGGUUGUAGUACACUUAACGACGUUUAACAAAAUAAUCUACGUUGGUAAUUAUAAAUCUACUGCCAUCUUAACUUAAUAUAGACGACGAUAAAAGACGACGGUAGAACAGAAAACCGCCGUUGUUUCAGUUUCUUUAACAUAUCUUUCUGCAGGACUUGUGUAGUUCAAAGCAUUGACAAUGUCUUCAUCAUAUCUCUCAGAAACUACUGAUUCAAUUGCUCAUGCUUUAGAGGCCAUUUGAAGCCAUUUCUAUUCUUUAUCGCAUUCUUGAAACCCAUCUUCUUCUUCUGAAGCUCUACGGAUAAAGGAAGAGGCUAUCACAAAUCCGACGGAUCUUCUUAGGCAAGAAAAUCAAGCAGAGGAUCAGGCACAUCUGAUCUUCAGAUUUCCCUGAGAAGCGAACUUUCCUUCGACAGCGAGUGGAGGCCAGGCUUGCAUCUCUUUUGAUGGAAAGCAAGGAGUAUUCAGAAGCACUAAGUGUCCUAUCAGGCUUGAUCAAGGAAGUGAGAAGGCUAGUUGACAAGCUUCUUCUUGUGGACAUAUAUUUGAUGCGAGUAAGAGAGGAAGAACUUGGAACCUUAAAUGUAAACCGAAAAUGAAUGAAAGCGACAAAUUUAUAGAAUAAAUUUUUAAAACCAACGGCGGUCCUUACAAAACAACCGCCAUUUAAAUUGUAAAAUCAACAUCGGUAUGAUAGACGUAUAUUACAAAAAUCCACGUCGGUAAAUUAAUAAAAACGACGUGUUAAAUAAUCUACCAUGACGCGAGUUAUUACUUAUGUACUUUAAUUUUUGAGUUUACUACGACGGUACCUACAAACUACUGUCGUAUUUAUUUACCACGUCCGAAGUUAAAUGUACCGUCGUAUUUUGUAAUUUAUACGUCGUAGUUAUAUGUAACCGCCGUAUUAUUUUUUUGAAAUGGUUUUAUAUGUAAGCAACUUUUCGUCUACUUGACUUACACAUUUGUUGUUUUUAUAUUCUUAUUUUAUUUAAAUCUGUCAUCCAAAAAAGAAACUUUACAUAUUGCAGAAUAUUAAUUUCCUUCGUUUUAAAUUUCCUCCGGAAAAAAAACUCUAUUUAUAACGCACUGUAAUUGAAAAAUAAACUGAAAGGUCACGGGAAAAAAAAUUCUAUUCAUAAUUUAAAAAUUAAAAUCCACGUCGGUUAUAUUAAACCUAACGACGUUAAAUGAAAUGAUUCCACGUCGAACGAAAAAUAUUGCGUCGUGUUAGUUAAAAACGACGUAGUUAAAUGUAACCGCCGUAUUAUUUUUUUGAAAUGUUUUUAUAUGUAAGCAACUUUUCGACUUACACAUGCACUAUUUCCAAACCCGAUUAAAAAUUUCAAUCUCCCAGAGAAACCUUUUCGUCUUUUUUCCUUGUCAGAGCAUUGUCAGAGUUUCUCAUCGUCUUCCUCUCGUCUUCUUCGUCGUCUCUGAACUUAAACAUCGAUCAUCUUCCUCUUGCUUUCAUUGCACGCAAAAGGUAAGCUUUCAUUUUCACUAUUUUGGUUACUGUUUUGCAUGCUCAUACGUUUUUUGUUUGAAAAAUCUUUUGACCUUUUUUCUGGCCAAAAUCAUUUUACUUCUUUCCAAGUUUGAUAAAAUAUACAGACAAAGAGGGAAAGUUUCCAACUUUGAAGACAACUACAUCAACUAAAUAAGACGACGGUAGACCACGACGGUUCGUCAGUUGUUCUAGCGUCGUCUGAAAAUUGACAAAGUUGUUUUUAAAAUAAUAGUCUUUUUUUAUAUGCUUGUUUAAUUGCAGGUUUGAUUUCUCUGAACAAUGGUUUUUGUUUUUCCCUUAUUUGAUAAAAUAUAAAGAAAAAGAAACUAGGGUUGGUAUCUAAUAUAGACGACAAAAUAUCUUAUUGUUUUACCACGACGGUGUAUUACUAUUGACGUCGUGUGAACAUAUAUACCACGACGUUAUAUAAAUAAUGGUUUUAAACAUUUAUUACGUCUGAGAUUAUUUCAUUGCGUCGUCUAAAAUCAUAUCAUACGUCGUAUUUUUUUAAUACCGUCGUUUGUGUUCUUAAUGUUUUCCUGAAAUAUUUUCACUUGCAGUUUUGUCUGUUAAAAUGGUUUCUCAACAACACAACUAAGGAUUCUGGCUCCAAGAAGCUUGGAAUGGUAGCUCCUCAAGACAAGUCUUCGAAGGAGAUGAAGUCUUCGAAGAAGAUGAAGUUUGCUUCAUCAUCUGCUGAGACAGAACAAACCAGCCAGACAACAAUCUCAGAUGAUUCAAAGACUGGUCGAGGUAUGAGCACAAUGCCUCGUGUUGUGAAGAGAAAGCUUCAGAAACUGAGGCCAAUUGUUGAGUACAAUAAAAGGGGGAAAGGUGUUGGCCAAGCACAUAUUGAGAUGCAGUCGUAUAUUGGUGUGUUGGCACGCUCCAGGAUCCCACUUGUGGACAAGAAAUGGUCCCAAAUCCCCAAGGAUAUAAAGGAGCAGAUUUGGGAAGCAGUUGACAUGGCUUUUGUCGUAGGCCAAGGGGGCAAGACCUCUGUUUUAACUUCUGCUUCCAAGAAAUGGAAGGAUUUCAAGUCUACACUAACGAGGCAUUAUAUCCUUCCAUACACCAAUGACAGGGAGAAAUUAAGCCAACCCCCUGAAACAUAUAAAUUCAUAGAGAAAGCACAAUGGGAUGCCUUUGUAGCUUCAAGGCUAUCCAAAGAUUUUGAGUCUGUGCAUUCUCAACAUGCACAGAUUAGGGAGAAACUCGAGUACAAUCAUCGAUUGUCUCGAAAAGGAUAUGCUGGAUUGGAGGAUCAAUUGAAGGAAACCAUGCCUGGGGUAGAAAUUGAUCGAUCUACCUUAUGGAAGAGAGCUAGACAGGACAAACAUGGUAACAUCCCUGAUCCAAAGGUGGCAGAGAAAGCAAAAUUAAUUGUAAGCCUACUAUCACUCUGUUUUAAAUUUUUAUUAAACUGUGAAUUAUUCUUAUUACGUCGUAUGUUAUAUUUUUCGUCGUGUGAAUGAUAUUACCACGUCGAAAAGUUUUUAAAAACGUCGUUAAAGGUCUAAAUAGGAAUCACUACUAUGUUUUCUGUAAUUAUAGCAUAAGACGUCGGUGGUUCAUUUUCGCGUCGUGUGAAUGAUAUUACCACGUCGAAACUUUUUUAAAAACGUCGUUAACGGUCUAAAUAGGAAUCACUACUCUGUUAUCUUUAAUUAUAGCAUAAGACGUCGGUUGUUUAUUCAUUUCGUCGUUUUAAAUAAAUAACCACGUCGGUAUAACUACCGUCGUGAUAAGUUAUAAUAACGUCGGUUUAUACGUUAUUGCGUCGUGUGAAAUUAUAUAAUACGUCGUUUGUACAUAAAUAACCGUCGUGUGUUUUUUUGUUUAUCUUUUUUUAGGAUGAAUUGCAGAAACAAGUCUCGGAAGGCAAAGUCAGAGUAGAUGGCAGCAAUGAUGUGCUGACCAUGGCUUUGGGCCCCGAGCAUCCAGGCAGACUGAGGGGAGUUGGUGCUGGUGUUUCCCCAAGGCAAUAUUUCAAUUUGCCCAAACCACAGAGGGUGAGCUUUGACGACCGUUUGAAGGACAGUUUAAGAGUUCUCCUUCAAGAAGAGACUAAAAAGAUGGAGGCUAAGGCAAGGGAAGAGGCCUUAAGGAUGGAGGCUAGGACAAAACAAUUGGUAGAGGCUGAGAGGGAGCAUUUCCUAAGUCAGCUUUCCCAAUUAAUUCCCAAUUUUGAUCCAAGCAUGCUUAAACCAAGAAUUAGCCAAAGCCCCAAAAAUCCAAUGUCUGACAAAGCUAGCUGCUCUGGAGGUGAUGUGAGAUCCCUACAUUUGGAGGAUGAUACUGCCAAAAUGGGGAAACAUCAGCCAGAUGAAGAGAAGGAAGAAGAAAAAAGAGAUGAAGAGAAGGAAGAAGAAAAGGAGAAAGAAGAUGAAGAAAAGCAUGACGACAAGGUAUGUUCACAUAACUUUGCCUUUUUUAUUUGUUUUUCAAAAUUUCAGACGUCGAUAUUUUUAUAUAAUCCGUCGUUUGUUUAAAACUUAGACGGCGGACUUUUUUUAAGACGUAAUAAAAUAUUUAAACGACGGUUUUUGCACCGUCGUUUAAAUGGUUUCAGACGACGCUUUAUUAAUAAAACCGUCGUCUUUAUUGAAUUACCACGACAGUUUUUUCACCGUCGUUUAAAUCCUUUUAAGACGACGUUUUAUUCCUUAAACCGUCGUCUUUAUUGAAUUACCACGUCAUUUUUUUUAUUUCUUUAAACAGGUUAUUGAAGUUGGUGCUUAUUCAAAUAUGGAGGCGCCAUCUUCUUUAAAAACCCUUUGUCGUUUUGUGAAAACGACACUCCUGCCUGAGGAUAAGACACUCCAAUUUACAAUUGAUAAGGAGGUGUUUGGUGGUGAGCGCGAUACCUUCCUCCUGCCUGAAGAUAUUACACAAUUUGCAGGCAUGGAAGAAAUUGGAGCUACUGUAUUGGCUGUAUAUAUGAGGUUUGUACUUCUAAGAUAAUAACUCGUUGGUUUAUAUAUUGCGUCAUCUUAACUAACUAACCACGUCGUCUUAACUAACUACCGUCGUGAUAAAUAUAUUAUAACGUCCUUAUCUAUUUCAGUACGUCGUGUGAAAUAUUAUAAUACGUCGUUUUUUUAUACAUAACCGUCGUGUUUGUUUUUGCUGACUUGUUUAUAUUAUUUUAUGUAUUUAGGUACUUACACGAUGUUUUGAAACAAGCCAAUAUGUGCAGCAUGGUUGGCUUUAUUGACCCUGCUACAGUUAGUGCCAACUCUGGCACAAUAACUGAAAUAUCACGACUGGUAGCAGCUCGACUUCAGAAGACAAACGGUGAACAGCUUUUCAUGAUGCCUUACAAUCCAGGGUUAGUCUCCUUAGGAUUUUGUUUUUAUGAUUUUCAAUAAAUGACAGAUUAUAAACUAACCACGUCGGUGUUUUAUUUUAUUUAGUCGUUUGAAACUACUAACCACGUCGGUAUUUAUUUGUCGUCGUGAUAAAUAUAUAAUGUCGUCGUUAUCUACUUUAUUUCGUCGUGUGAAAUACUAUAAUACGUCGUUUUUGUAAAUAACCGUCGUUUUUAUAUUAAUUUUGUGCAGCCGUCAUUGGAUCUUGCUGAUUGUAAGAGCAAAGAAGGAGACCGUCUAUUUUCUGGAUCCUCUGCCAGGUCAUCGUGUGGUCGACGAAGAGGCGAAAAACAUCGUGAACAGUGCUUUAAAAAUAUAUAAUACCCACAUAGGCCGAGCAGGACGUAAAAAUGUAAUUUGGAAAACUCUCUCAGGCACACCAAAGCAACCCAGCAAUGUCGAAUGCGGGUAUUAUGUGAUGCGCUUCAUGAGGGACAUCAUCAUGGAUCCUUCCUUGGGGUUUGAGAAUAAGGUAAGAAAAAAUUACCUUCAUACAUUUCACGUCGUUUUUUGUAUUAUCAACGACGGUCAUAUAAAAUUAACGUCGUUGAAUGGAUAUACUACGUCGGUUAUGAAAAAUAUCGUCGUCUGUGAUUGAAUUUCUUUUUAUUUAUAAACCCUAAUAGUCAUUGUUUAUGCAGUAUGCCAAGGGAAACCAGGAAGCUUCAUACCCCCAAGAAGCCAUUGAUGAAGUCCGGAAUGAAUGGGCAGAGUUUGUUUUCCAAAUUAUUAAACAGGGCAAUUAUUGAACACUUGAUAUUUAUGUAUAAUGUACAAAUUUUCUCUAUAAUAUGUAAUGUAAAAAUUUGUUGAGGUUUUCUUAAAUUAAAAAAAAAACAAACAUACAAAUUGCUUAACCGACGUGUAAUACUUUUCCAACGACCUAAUAAAGUCAAAAACCGUCGUAUUUUGUUGUUUCGUGUUUUAAACAAAUACGACGUAAAAAUAUAGUUAGACGACGUUCUUUGAACAAUUGAGUCGUUUAUGGUUUACAACAUCUUCAAUUUCUUAAGGGUUCAGGGUAUCAUCGACGACGUUUAUGUAACGACAGCGGUUAAGUCGUUGAUAUAUAUAUUUUACGUCGUAUAGGUAAAUAGCCGCCAUGGUUUCUCAUUUUAACGACGUCAUUUUAACGACUUAGUAGUCUAUUACAAUUUACAACGUCUACAAUUUAUUAACACCGACGUGGUUUGUUGUUGUGGUAAGAAUAUUUUAUUAUUUUUAUAUCAAAAUAUUCAAAAUAAAUUUACAAUAAAUCAGAAAAUUGAAAAGUCAACUCCUAUGAAGUCAUUGAUAUAUUUUCUUCCACAUAAACCUUGAAAAAAUUCAUUUUGAAUAACAAAAAUUUAAAAUGACCAUCCAAAACAAAAUUGUUUUGAUGAGUCAUAAAAUCACUUCUAGUUUUAUGGUUUAGGGUUUAGAGUCUAGGGUUUAGAGAUUAGGGUUGUUAUUUAUCGGGGUUUAUUUUUAAAGUAUAAUUUUUGGGUAGUCUAGGGUAUAUGUUAGGCUUUAAAACCAUAAAACCUUUUAUAAACUUAAUUUUUUAAAUUGUAUAAUUUAGUUUUAUGGGUUUAGGGUAUUAAUUUUUAACGACGGUGGUUGCGUCGUGGAAUACAUAUUUUACGUCGUACAGAAAAACUUACGACAUGGUUUACUCUUUAAACGACGUCAUUUUAAUAUGUAAGUCGGUUUAUAUAAUUUAUAACGUCUUUAAUUUCUUAACACCGACGUGAUUUUUCAGUCGUCGUUAUAUAAAAAAUUCAAAAUAAAUUUAAAAUUAAUCCGAAAAAUGAAGCUUCAAAAUGAACGGCCUUACGUUCUUAAUCCGAAAAAUGAAGUUUCCGUCGUGGAAUAUUAAAUUUACGUCGGUACGUGUAGAACUUUCGCCUUGGUUUUUCUUUCGACGUUUUAAAACGCGCGAACUCUAAAAAUUUUCGCGCGACCUAAAUUUUUUUAGAUUUGGCUCUUAUUCUUAUACUUCGAACCCUGAAACCUAAAAUUUUCAGAUUUCGCGCGACAUAACAUUUCGCUCUCUCACUUCUGCUCUAAUUAAAAGUUGCACUCUCCAGGCUCCGUCGAAUCUGUGAGCUCGUCCAACCUGUAAGUACAAACCCUAUCUUCCCCUUGUAAAUUCAUUGAAUGAUAUUAGGUUGUUUUGUUAAAGGGUUUUAUGUGUAUGCUUUGCGAUCUGUUAAUAAUGUGCUUAUAGGUAUGGGUUCAUGGAUUUUCUGUUUAAUGGGUUCAUGACAAGAUCAAAUAAAGGUGUACUUUUGCUGAAAAUCAACAUAAAAAGACACAGAUCACCAACUUCCAAAUGAUUUCCAGCAAAAGUACACCUUUAUUUGAUCUUGUCAUUUUCCGCUAUGGAGAAAAUGAUGGGGAGAAAAUAGUACCUACGAAGGAAGAAACUGAUAAUGAAGAUGGGGAUUCGAGUGAUGAUUCUAGUAACGAUUCGAGUUAUAUUAGGUUGUUUUGUUAAAGGGUUUUAUGUGUAUGCUUUGCGAUCUGUUAAUAAUGUGCUUAUAGGUAUGGGUUCAUGGAUUUUCUGUUUAAUGGGUUCAUGGAUUACAUUAUCUGUUAUGUUGAAUUGGGAAUGGAUUUAAUUUUGUCGUAUCUUUUAAUCACCCUAUGUUAUGUUGAAUUGGGAAUGGAUUUAUUGUUUUCAUGCUUGGUUUCAUGUAUAUGUUGGUUUCUUGCUUGGUUUCAUAUAUAUGUUGUGUUCUUAAUGGGUUUUGUGUUCUUGAAAAUAAACUGAGACACGACGAAUUUUAAGGCAUACGACGACGAUUACACGACGGUGUUUUUAAACUACCGUCGUUGUAUUACUUAUACACGACGGUUUUUUCAUAAACCGUCGUUUGUAUUACUUAUAAUAGACGACGUCUGUUGAAAAUCCGUCGUCUAUAUAUGCCAAAUACGUCUGUUUUUGUUUAAAACCCGUCGUCUCUGUUGUGUAUUACUUGCGAUUAGAUCAUUGUAUAAUCUGCUAUAGUGAUGGUCAUUGCCUGUAUUUUCACUUUAUUAUAGAUAAUAGGUUAUAGUGUCGGAGAUGGAUAAGUCAUGGAUGCACUCGGAUAGAAGAUCGAAGGCAUAUGAGUUUGGGGUGGAAGCAUUUUUGAACUUUGCUGUAGAAAAUCUUCUAACUACAACACAUAUCCGUUGUCCAUGUGUUAAAUGUGUUAAUUUGAAGUUGUUUGGGGUUGGAAUUAUAAGGGAUCACUUAUACUUUAAUGGAAUUGACCAAAGCUAUAAGAAUUGGACAUUUCACGGAGAACCUUGGGAAGCAACUACUAAUGCUAGUAGAAAUGUUGAAGAAGAUGAUGGCCAUAGUAGGUACAGUUUUGUGUCUGAAGAAAUUGAUAUGGAUGAUAAUGAUUUUGGUGAUUUUGGUUAGGAUCCGUAUGAGUUUGCCAAUGUGAUUGGGGAUGGAGAUCAACCAGUGUACCCUGGUUGUAGAAAGUACACGAAGUUAUCGGCAUUAGUGAAGUUGUAUAAUUUGAAGGCAAAACAUGGGAUGAGUGAUGUCUGUUUUACAGAAUUAUUGAUACUUCAAGGCGAUUUGCUUCCAGAAGGAAAUACAAUACCAACCUCCAUGUAUGAGGCUAAAAAGACUUUGUGUGCAUUGGGGCUGAGUUAUGAGAAAAUGCACGCAUGCCCCAAUGAUUGCAUCUUGUAUAGGAAGGAGUAUGACGAUUCAACUAAUUGUCCUACUUGUGGUAUCUCAAGGUGGAAGGAAGGCAAAGAUUCAAUCUUGAAAGAGGGUGUGCCAGCGAAGGUGGUGUGGUAUUUUCCCCCAAUUCCAAGGUUUAAAAGGAUGUUUCAAUCACAUGAGACAGCUAAGAGUUUGACUUGGUGGCAUGCUGCUAGAAAAUCAAUUGACGGUCAGAUGUCUCAUCCGGCGGAUUCCCCGUCUUGGAAACUUCUUGAUGAUAAAUGGCCUGAGUUUGGUAAUGAGCCGAGAAACUUGAGAUUGGCUCUUUCAUCUGAUGGAUUCAAUCCCCACAGUUCUCUAAGUAGCAGAUAUAGUUGUUGGCCGGUUAUCUUAGUUACAUAUAAUCUCCCUCCAUGGCUGUGCAUGAAACGAAAGUUCAUGAUGUUAACCUUAUUGAUUUCCGGUCCUAAACAACCCGGAAAUGAUAUAGACGUCUACUUGGAGCCUUUGAUUGAUGAUUUAAAAUCCUUGUGGGUUGGGAUUAGAGGAGUGUAUGAUGCACAUAAUGGAGAAUACUUUACACUCAGAGCUGCAUUAAUGUGGACAAUUAAUGAUUUCCCCGCCUAUGGAAACUUAUCUGGUUGUGUUGUUAAAGGAUAUAAAGCUUGUCCAAUAUGCGGCGAUGAUACACCUAGUCACAGGUUGAAAAAUGGCCACAAAAUUUGUUACAUUGGGCAUAGAAAAUGGUUACCAAUCAAUCAUCCAUAUAGGAGGCAACGUGCAGCUUUUAAUGGGAAACCUGAAUAUGGCAUACCUCCCGAGCCAUAAACCGGAGAAGAAGUGCUGCAUAUGGUUGAAAAUGGUGACAGAGUUUGUUGGAAGAAGAAAUCAAUAUUCUUUGAUCUCGAGUAUUGGAAAUACCUUCCUGUAAGGCAUGCCCUAGAUGUUAUGCACAUUGAGAAGAAUGUUUGCGAUAGUAUCAUUGGUACAUUGCUGGAGAUCCCUGGAAAAAAUAAAGAUGGGAUUGCUGCUCGAUUAGAUUUAUUGAACAUGGGGGUCAAAACUGAUUUGCAACCCGAGUAUGGAGAAAGACGUACUCGUUUGCCUCCUGGGCCUUGGAAUUUGUCAAGAGCAGAGAAGAGAGAGGUUUGCAAUUCUUUCUAUGGUAUGAAGGUCCCUGAAGGUUAUUCUUCAAAUAUUAAAAAUCUUGUAUCUUUACAAGAUUCAAGACUUCUUGGCCUUAAAUCACAUGAUUGUCAUACCUUAAUGCAACAAUUGCUCCCUGUGGCAAUUCGUUCUGUUUUGGAGAAGCCUGCAAGGUAUGCAAUAACUCGUUUGUGCUUCUUCUUCAAUGCUAUAUGUGCAAAGACUGUUGAUGUUUCCAAGCUAGAUAAGUUGGAAGAAGAUGUAGUAGUUACUCUGUGUUUGCUUGAGAAGUACUUUCCUCCUUCAUUCUUUGAUAUCAUGGUUCAUCUAGUAGUACAUCUUGUCAGAGAAGUUCGUCUAUGUGGGCCAGUAUAUUUUAGGUGGAUGUAUCCGUUUGGAAGAUAUAUGAAAGUGCUGAAGGGGUAUGUUCAGAAUCGUACUCGUCCCGAAGGUUGCAUUGCUGAGCGGUAUAUAGCUGAAGAAGCGGUAGAGUGUUGUACUCAGCAUUUAUCUGAUGCUAGUACAAUUGGAGUGCCUUCAAGCCAAAAGAUGGGACUUUCAAAGCCAUUAUCAGGUUGCACAGUGAGCGUAGUUGAUCAGGACCUGUUGAAUCAAGCACAUCUAUAUGUCUUGGAGAAUACGGAGGAAGUCCUACCUUAUAUCGAGUACGUAUGAGCUUUAUUCUUUAAGUUUCCAUUUUAAAUUAUUUCUUAUGUUUAUCUUCUAUAUUUAGGACCGUAAUGCUUGAAUUUUUCGUGUCAUGUAGGCAACAUAUGAUUCACAUCAAGACUGCUUAUCCAAAAUUUAGAAAGAGAACAAAGUGGCUGCAGGAUAAGCACAAUAGCACUUUCAUUCAAUGGCUACGCUUCAAGGUAUAUAUUGUUGAAUAACAUAUUUCUCUUUUAAUUUUCUUCUUAUUUAUAUGUUAGAUUGAAUUAAGAUAUGAUUAAUUUGCAGGUUCAAAGUGAACUUGAGGAAGACAAUCAUGGCGUAUCAGAAAAUUUAAGGUGGCUAGCAGCUGGUCCAAACAUGUCAGUGCCAUUAUAUAGGAGCUAUCUUAUUAAAGGUAUUAAAUUCAAUAUCAAGGCACAAGAUGAUGUGCGGACAACUCAAAAUAGUGGAGUUUAUUUACUUGCACAUACCAUGCAAGUUGCUAGUGCCAAGGAUAAAAACCCAAUUCUCUCAAAUAUGGGUUUCUAUGGUGUCAUUCAAGAAAUUUGGGACCUUGACUACUAAAAGUUUACAAUCCCAGUCUUUAGGUGUGAUUGGAUAGAUAGUUCUGGUCUUGUAGUCGACGAACUUGGAUUUACCCUUGUAGAUUUGAGUAAAAUUGGACAUAGGAAUGACCAAUUUGUUUUGGCUUCUCAAGUCAAACAAAUAUUUUUUGUUGACGACCCGAUGCAUCGUGGUUGGUCGGUAGUGUUAUCAAUGCCUAAUAGAGAAUAUAAUGAUGUUAUUGGUGAUGAAGUCUUAGGUGAUGUGAUAAUUGAGUGUGAGCCAUUUACUAGAGGGAUGCCAAAUGUUGACACAUUUGAUGAACUGGUGGGUGAGUUAGGCGGUCAAAAUAUUCGAGAUGGGUGUGAAGAUAUAUGGAUUGAAUGAUGCUUAUGUAAUUGGCAGUGUAUGACAUUAAUUUUGUAAUAUAUUGUAAUGUGAUUUCUUCACUUUCUACGUUCAAAUAAAACACGACGUUAUUGUGAACCAGUUAUUCAGCAUAUUUACCGACGUCUUAAAGCAACGUAACAAUGAAGAACCACGACGCAAUUGUGAAGCAAUUAUUCAGGAUAUCACGUCGGGGAAGGAUUAAGAACCGCCAUGUAAUUCAAAAUAACACGACUCCAAUCCCAUAAUACCGACGUCUAAAAAACGAGAUAUAUAAUCUGAACGUUAAAAAAUACGACGUCAUCAUACAUUUUCCACGUCGCAAGUUCUUUUAUAAACGAAGAGGAACGAAAUGAAUUCCGACGGAAAUUCAUUAUAACCGCCGUCUAAUAACAAUUAAACGACGUUAUUUGUAAUACGGCUCUCAUCAUAAUCAACGCCGUCUAUAUGUUCUGUAAUACGGCUCUCAUUUAUUUGGAACCGACGUUGUUUAGAAGUUCAACGUCGUCUAUAUUAUUAAGUGCGUCGUGAGUAAUGAUGAUAGAUAUAAAUACAACGUCGACUAUAUAAAUGCCACCGACGUUGUUUCGCAUUUCAACGUCAACUGUAUAAAUACAUACGUCGUAAAUAAUGACACUGACAACUAUUUCCACGUCAUCUUUUUUAGAAAAAUCGAAGUGGAAAAUUUAUUUCACGACGGUUGUUUGUAAAUAAGAGACGUAGUAUAUUUCAAUAACGUCGUCUUCUCAUGUAUUUAAAGACGUCAUAUUUUUUCUUGUCGUGUAAAUUAUAUUUAACGGCGUAAAAUUUUAGUUGUCGUCGUUGUAUGUAUAUCUUGCGGCCUUGUUCUUUUAACAUGUGUCAUAUUUUUCCUUUUUAACGACGGUGAUUUGUUUGAGUUGGUCGUCUAUUCUCAUCCUCGACUAUUUUCUAGAACUUUAGCAGACUAAACACGUCUGUUUUUAUUGUUUUCCGACGUUGUUUUAUUUAACAACGUCUAAUAUUUAUCGUUGUUGUUUGUUUCUGAAAAUAUGACGUAUAAAUUUUGUAAUACGACUCUCAUAUAUUUGUAACCGACGUUGUGUCGUUUUUCAACGUCUACUCAAUAAAUACAUACGUCGUAAAUAAUGACACUGACAACUAUUUCCACGUCAUCUUUUAUCGAAAAAUCGAAGUGGAAAAUUAAUUUUACGACGGCUGUUUUUAUAUAUGCGACGUAGUAGGUAUCAAUAACGUCGUCUUCUAAUGUAUUUAAAGACGUCAAAUUUUUUAUUGUCGUGAAAAUGAUAUUUAACGGCGUCGUAUUUUUAUUUUCGUCGUUGUAUGUCUAUCUUGCGGCCUUGUUCUCUUAAUAUGUGUCAUAUUUUUCCUUUUUAACGACGGUUUUUUUAGAGAGUUGGUCGUCUAUUCUCAUCCUCGACUGCUUUUUUAGAUCUUUUUGCAGUACAAAGACGUCGUUUUGUAUUUGUUGAUGACGUUGUAUAUUUUAACAACGACGGUGAUUUAGCGUCGUGGUAUAUGAGGGAAAAGAUGACGGUGGAUUCCACGACCAUUGAAAAAUCGAAUACACGACGGUGAUUUACCGUCGUCUUUUUGCUUUUUUGUAGUAGUGGCAGUUUAUGAGUAUUUUGUCUUGGCUUGUGUCAAAGGGUAAGUAUCCAAUUGAAACAAGCUAAAAAGAAAUUCUAUGAAGUUAUGCUAGGUUAAUUUGGUUUUGAAUAUGACAUUGCUGAAUGGUAGCCAAACCCAUCAUUGAGUUAUUCAGAUUUGGUCUAAACUUCAAACUCAUCCAGAAAUUGUGCAAUCGACAUUUAAUCUCAAAAUGUACAUUGAACCAAAUCAAAAUGCCACUGCAUUGGUUAAGCCAAAACAAGUCACAAAAAGGCCACUACAUUCAACCAAAUGCCACUGCAUUCGUUAAGCCAAAACAAGGCACAAAAAGGCCACUACAUUCAAGCAAAUCAACUAACCUACAUUCAACCAAAUCAAAACCUAACCUACUUUAACCAAAUGAAAAGCUAACUAAUAAAACAAACAACAACAGAAUGACAACCAAACAACUCAGCACCAGCCUUCGAAAUUUUUUCUCUUUGUCACUUACCUCUUGCACAAUCUUCUUGUCUUUAGCUCUUUUCUCUUCCAAUGAGUUGAUUUGUCUCAACAAUCAACAUAUGACAUGUUUGGCCUGCUCAGAAAUUUUUGGGUCCUUCCAAGCCUUCCAACCACAGCCACCACCAUACUUCUCUCUACAACACACAUAUAACCUCAUCCCUGCAUUUUCAUCAGACCAGCAAACAAUCGUUUCAGCCUCAAAUCCAGAACGGCAGAUACGCACCAUAUCAUCCUCCGUAAUAAAAUUGUUUGAACUUGAUUCGGUAGAAGCUGCACGUCUGUUCCUAUGCAUCCUAUCUUUAACUGCAAUUUCUUCUCUUCUUCGUGAAAUGGAUGAACAUCAGUGAUGUCAGAAGGUUGGAAUGCUUGCACACAGUGUUGGGUUAUGUCAUCAAGGGUGGGUUCUAUGAAGAAGGGGUGGUUUCUGUUGAAUCUCCAUGUCUGAAAUGAAGGCUACAGGGGCUUCUUUCGUUCGAAUAAAAAGGGCUGAGGGCUGAGGGUAUAGAAUGGUGAUAUUACCCUUAUCAGACGGCUCACGUGCAUCAGACGGCUCACGUGCCUUUCACAUGGUGUUUUUGACGGGCAUUUGGAUGAAAUUGGAAAAAAACUAACGGUAUGGGUAAAAUUGGCGAUUUCUUUUAAUUCGAAGGCUAAAUUGGCUGAAAAAAUAAUCUAGGGGGGACAUUUCAAUAGUCGAUAUAGUCCAGGGGGUUUUCGGCAAUUUAACCUUUUGUAAAUUGGGCUUGUUUGUGCUUUUGCACAUCUGCAUAUAUAGUAAUAAAAGGAAAGUGAUGGUUCCAAUAGAGCAAAUCAAAGAUGUACCUCAUCAUUACCAAAUUGUCUUAUGUAUUACUCUAUAUAUACAUAUUUAUAUAUGUACAUAUUGACAUUGCUUUAUUUUGUUUCUAUUGUAGAUGAAGAUGAUGGAUGAAUUUGAGAAGGGGAAGCAACAAUUGGUAGAGUACGAGAUCCUGUCACAGCCCAUAUCCCACAAACUUGGUCUCUAGUGAUUCGAAACCCUAACGCUUAAGUCUUGAGAUAAUUGACUUCUUUUUUUCAUGACAGUUGGACCUAGAUUUUUGGAUUCUAGAACAUUGUUGUCAUUGAGAACCUUCGUCAAUUUGGGAUGGGACAACAUUCCAUUUAGUUGCAGGAAGUGUAUUGUAGUUAUAAGGAAAAAAAAAAAACAUGUACUUGAGGGACUAUUUGUGUAUCAGACAAACCAUGUAAUUAUUUAGUCCUCAUGGAAUGAAAUUGAGUUCAAUUUUGCCUCAUAAAUUUCAGUCUUGAAUAUGUUGUUUUUAUAUAUUCGCAAGUGUAUGCAAUGGAAAAAUAAUUUUAUUUAUAUUAUACAUUGAAGAGAGCACAUUAUUUACAUUAUGUGUAUAUAUAGCUCAUUCUUCUUGCCUUUGUAUAGGGAUGGCGAUGGGUCGAAUCGGGAGUGAGUAGCCAUUCCCAUUCCCAUCCCCAUCCCCGUAAAACCUUUUUCCCCCAUCCCCACCUUCAUACAUGCAAUACAUACUUGAAGAAAAAAAAAAAAAGGAUAUACGAAGGCAAUAUAGCAGCAAUACACACGCAAUAAAGGGCGAUACAAUGGCAAUACACAAACCCCAUUCCCCUUAUAAAUUUAUUCCAACAUAGACUUGAAAAAAAAAAAAAUAUGCGGGGGCAAUACAGUAGCAAUACAUAGGCAAUAAAAGGCUAUACAAUGGCAAUACACAAGGAAUAAAAGGCUAUACAAUGGCAAUACACAAACUUCAUACUCCUCCUAUAAAUUUAUUCUAACAGACUUUAAAAAAAAAAAGAUAUACGGGGGCAACACACAAGCAAUAAAGGGCUAUACAUGUGCAAUACAUAUGCAAUACAUAUCUGUCAUGGCAUUUGCCAAUUAAAUCACUGAUUUGGUUACAUUUGUUUUUUUUUCUUCUUUGCAAGGGGAACGAUAAAACUAGGGCUGGCAAUGGGUCGUGUCGUGUCGGGUUCGUGUCGUGUCGGGAUAAUAAACGUGUCAAGAAUGCUCAACCCGAACCCAACCCAUUUAAUAAACGUGUCGUGUCGGGUUCGGGUCGUCUUUUAUCGUGCGGGUUUCGAGUCGUGUAACGGGUUCAUAAAGAAUAACAUGCAUGUUACAAAACUCACAACCGAAAAAAUUUUAAUUAAAAAAAAACAGAGAGAGUAGAGAAAAUAUAAGGAAAAGAAAGAAAGAAAAAAGAUAGAGAGAGGAGAGAAGAGAGAAGGAAAAGAAAGAAAAAAAAUAGAGAGAGAGAGAGAGAGAAGAUUGAAGGAAAGAAAGAAAGAAAAAAGAGAGAUGAGAGAAAACUAAAGAGAAGGAAAAAAAAAAGGAGAGAAGAGGAAAGGAAAAGAGAAGAAAAAAAAAAGAGAGGAGAAGAAAGAAGGAAAAAAAAGAAAAAGAAAAAAAAAAGGAGAAGAGAGACGGAAAAGAAAGGAAAACUCAAAAGAAAAGAAACAUUAUAAAUAUCAAAAGGCAUACCAUAAAAUCACAAAGUUGGUUAUAACAUGGUGGAUAAGAUGUUGGAGAAAAUGAGGAUAGGAGGGGUUCGAAACCCCUUGUGUGUGUGUUGAAGUCUCCAUUUGUUUUUAUUUUUUAGCGGGUUAGCGGGUUGUACACGGGUUGACACGACCCGUGACACGACCCGUUUAAUAAACGGGUUAGAUAGGUAUUAUAGCGGGUUAGCGGGUUGACCCGAAACCCACCCGUUUAUUAAACGGGUCAGAACGGGUUGACCCGAAAUUGACUUGUUUUUUUAUCGUGCGGGUUGAACCCGCUAAUUUCUCGUGCGGGUUUCGAGUCGUGUAUCGGGUCGUAUCCGAAAUUGCCACCCCUAGAUAAAACCAUGGAAACUAGAGAUUGACAAAUUUCCUUCUAACUUGACUUUCAUAAAUUGAUGAACUAAUUAUGUUAUCUCAUUACAUCUUAAGAUAUACAUAAGAAAGUAGCAAAAAACAAAAAUUUUACAUCUGCUCUUGGUCGAGAAUUUUAACACAUUUUAUAUCUAUCAGCAAAAUUCGACAUCUCCUCUUAGAAUUGAAUUUUAGCUGAAAGUUAGCAAUUUCCUCCCCAAGAGAACGUUGCCACUUGAAUCAAGACAAUCUUCCAUCUGUAUAAAACGGAUCAAAAAUGCAUAUUAGAAGCAAAUCAUUCAAUCACAAUGGAAACAAAAACAUAACAUUCAAUCGCAACAGAAACCAAUUCCAAAAUUCAUAACAGAAACCAAUGCCAAAACAGAUUCAGAAACCAAUACCAAAAUAGAUUCAAAAACCAAUACCAAAACAAGUUCAGACAUAUUUACAGUCACUACAACAAAUAGAGUGGAUAAAUGUCAAACUGCAGUAUAAUAUACAUUUUUUAAUAGAAGAAAGAAAGAAAAAAAAGAUAUACAUCAUUUAAGAGCUCAGCUUGAAGUUUGGUGAGUUAUAUAUACCUAUGAGACAUUUAUCUGUGGUUUCUCCAGUGAAGGACUACCUUCAAGAAUCCUAUCUUCAUACAAAUUGUUGGCUUUUCUAAAUGACCCAAUUCUUCAUAUAGCAAACUUUCACAAGAUAGUACAAUUGCAAAAUUAAAGUUCACAUUCAGGCACACAAUUUCGUACUACCCAAUUGCAAUAUAAAAAUUAUUAUAAACAUGAGUGAAGUGAAUGUGUGUCAUGGCAGGCAAAUAAAAAUAUAAAUCAGGAAAUCAUCAAUAAUGCAUUUGGCAUUGUUCAAACAGUUAAAGAAACACAGUCUUAGAGAAGAAGAAUAGCAAGACAAUGGAACUGGAUAAAUGCAAGAGCUGUCAACAAACCUUAAGUUUUCAAAGAACCCUUUUCACAGCACCAACACAACCUUGGCAUGAUACCAAUCUUGAGGACUGUAGACUACACCAAGAACAGAUCCAAGAUUGAAUUAUGAAAAAUAGAGAAAAACAAGAUCCAACAUAUGCCAACUUUACAAUAUCAAACUUAUGUUAAAAUAUUGGCAUUCUCAUAAAACUUACAAACUCCACAAUCACUUUUGGAGAUAUCCUUCACCACCUCAAGACAUAAUCAAUUUAUGUAGUUCAUUCAAAAAUCACAUCCCAAAACAGAACAAAACAAAUUCAGAUCAUUGAACCAAGAGACCAUUGAACCAAAUAACUGUGUUUCUUCAAUUGUUUUUUGUCAGAAUAAAAACCCCUCAGUAAUCAAAUUCAAUAAGCAAAAGAAAAUCUUCACUAUCAUUGUAGACUGGACAAGCUUCAAGCAUAAUAUUCCUUAAGACAAACUGAGAAAUAUUUGUUGCACAAUCCUAAAAUUUUGGUUCAAAAAGGGCUUGUAUAAUCCCACUGAAAUAACAUUCUCUACACAAGUUGAAAAUAUUAAUUGUAAACAAAGAGAGUAAAAUUUUAAAUUAAACCUACAAUUACGUUUCAACAAAUUUUUGUACAAUCUCACCUAAAUUUGACUUGGAGGGACUUGAACUCACAUCAAGCACCCAAAAAUCCAGACCCAUAUAUGAAAUUGAAACAAGGAGAAGAAAACCCAAAUGCAUAGGAGAAAAGCCGAGCUGGCUACCUGAGAAGCCAUCUCUAAGCAUGCAGGUCAAAAAAGGUGACAGAGAGCGAGAGGUUAAGGUCGUCGUCGAUGUGGGUUAGGGUUUCUGAGGAGGUGACAGUGACCGUUGCCGAUGUGGGUGAGAGAGAGAGAGAGAGAGAGAGAGAGAGGAGGGAUGAAUGAGUGAGACUGAGAAAUUGUGAAAGAGGAUUUGAGAGAGCUCAUAACUACUAAACAAAAGUGAAAGAUAGGCAAUAGGCUGUCAAUAGGGAGUUUUUAUAAGGGGCAUUUGUGAUUGGGUUUCAAAAUAAGGAUAUUAGUGAAUAAAUUAGGUGAGCCAGGGGUAAAGCUGCCAAUUUUCCCUCUUUUUAAGCAGCUAUUGAAAGCUGGCUAUUGGCGACUUUGAGAAAUCGCUUUUUAAGAAGGGUGUUUUUAAAAUAAGCUAGUUUUUUUGGUUUUACCAAACACUUUUAGUUAGACAAAUUUUAUUUUUAGCUGCUUUUUUCUUUUAAACACUACACUCCCAAACACCACCUUAAUUUGUGGACUAGGUUUUGGGAAAUUCUAGUCGGACCCAACUGUUUGCUAAACAGACCCAACACUUUUUCUACUCUAAAUUCCAACUGUACCCUUGGAUCACAUGCUGCAUUAAUUUAUUAAUUUUUUUAUCUUUUAUUUUUGACACAAAGGUAAGGCUUGUCAAUGGGUUGGGCUGGCCUCAAUUUAAUGGGCUUGGGCAAGGCCGGGCUUCAAAAAGGAGAAAGAAAAUAAAGGGUUGGGCUAGGGUUUUUUAGAAAAUUCAAAGCCCAGGCCCGAUUCAUGGGCUGGGCUUGAGAAAGCCCAUUGGGCGGGGCCAUGAUAAGCCCAACAAGACUGGCCGGGCCGAAAUGGGCCUACUUCAUUCGAAAAGAAGAAGAAGAAGAGGAGAAAGAAACAAUGUGCCAUUCAAAAAGAGGCACUCAGCUGCAUCGUAAUUAGACCGUAAGUCGUUUUAAAAAAUAAUAAGUAUUAAAUUUUUAUUUUUUUUUUCAAAGGAUGGUAUGAAUAAAUAUGCAAAUGUUUGGUGAUGGGUUUAAGAAAAGCAUGAUUAUGUUUGGUGGUAUGAUUAUGUUUGGUGAUAUGAUUAUGUUCGGUGAUAUGAUAUGUUGUUCGUCUUAUUCUUGAUUUAUAUAAUUGUUGUAUUAAUAAUUGAUAGAAAUUAAUGUGCUAAUCAUCUAAUUAUAAACUAGGAAUGAGUAAAGAAAAGUAAAUGAAAUGAAACAAAACAAGAAACCCAAAAUAAACACAAAGCAAUUUCUAUUGUCGCUGUAUCACCAUGGUAGCACCAGUUUAUCACAUUUUAGGCAAAGACGAAUUAUGAACUUCCUCUGAACACACACACAAAAAUGAAAUUUGGGGAGGAGGGGGGGGGGGGGGGGGGGGCGGAAGGGGGGACAAUUUUUGAAUUCAGGGAUAUAAUCCUAAUCCUAAACCCUUAUUUAUACAUAAUUAUAUAUGUAUGUGGGCCUAAUGGGCUGGACUUUUGUGGGUAGGUUGGGCUGGACUUUCUUGGACUUAAUCAGGCUGGGCUUAUGGGCUGGGCUGGGCUUCAGACACCCAAGCCCAAGCCCAAGCCCAGCCCAGCCCAGCCCAAUGCGGACCGAGCCAUCCCAAAGCCCAUAACGAGUUGGGUUGGGCUAUUUCUCAAUGGGCCAGGUAGGCCCCCACUGGCCCAUGAGCCUGUGGGCCAAAUGAUGAAGGCGAUAGUGUUUACUAAGGCUUAAUUACAUUUUUGGUCAUUGGAAUUUGGCUCAAAAUUAAAUUUGGUCUUCGUGAUUUCAAUUUUCCCGAUUUCGUCAUCAUAGUUGCAGCAGUUAAUAAAUCAAGUCCUAAGUCUCAAUUCCAUCAGUUUAUUUGAUUAAAAAAAUAUUUAAUAUUAAGUAAACAUCAAUACAAAAUUUUAUUAUUUUUAACAACAACAAAAAUCCUACACCAUCCCCCGUCCCACUGUCAGGCCCCUUCCCACCAUCCUUUCUCCAUGCGCCCAUCACCACCUAAUCCCUUUGAGCUCCAACCCAUGUUUAACAUCAGAAAGGAUUCUCCUAUUCUACAACCACUUCUUAGACCACAUAUAUAUUAACUUUGUUUUUGUUAAUCACUUCCAAAUACAUUGAAUUUAUGUUUUUCUGGUGGCUUUGCUUGGGCUUGAUGGAACAAACAAAUAUUUAGUUAAAUAGUGCAAGCGGGGUUUGAACAAGGGAUUAGAAACAAGUGCAGACACUGAUGGUUUGAUUGCUGUAAGAGCUGACGGAAGAGGUGGUAGAAUCGAAGUUCUGAGAUCUUUGAAUCAAUGGUUAGUGGUGGGUUUGUUUACAUUCAAAUUAGUUUUGUCUACAAGCAUGUGAGAGAGACUCAGCUAAGAACCCAACACGUUUUGAGAUCUCUUUGUAAAUUACCAAUAUUUGAAAUUCUGCUUUUGAUAUACUUGAUGGGAGCAGAAAGAAGGGACGGCGGGGCUAGGUACUAUUAUUGGGUAGAUGGGAAGGGAGGCUGACGACAGAAUAAAGGGAACAUGGGGUAAGUUUUUUCAAAAAAGAAUUUAUUAAAUAUUAUAUUGAAAUUAAUUAUUUUUAAUUUAAUAUUAAAUAUUUUUUAAAUUAAACAAACUGACAGAAUUGAGACUUAGGACUUGAUUUGUGAACUGCUACAACUAUGGUGAUGAAAUUGGGAAAAUUAAAAUCACGGUAACCAAAAUUGAUUUUGAGCCAAACUCCAGUGACCAAAAAUGUAAUAAACCGUUUUAUUAAUGAGGAAGAAUGAAACAAGAAAAAAAAAAACGGGGUUAUGUUCUAGAGAUAUUAGGCCAGUAACUCGACACCAAAUGGGUGAAGAAACCUUACCUCCGAUAAAGUGCCAAUGCUAAACCAUAAAUUUUAAAAAAAACUUUCUUUAUCUUUUUAGAAGAUGUCUGAGAUUGUAUUAAGGGACGAGGGAGCUAAGGGAGAUAGACGGAGCUGCUUUUGUCUUUUCAUUUUUAAACUCAAUUUUAUUUCUAUUUUAGAGUUUAGAAAAUAUCAAAUUUCUAUUUAUUUUUUUCUUCGGUUUUGUCCACAUGGUGUGUGUGACUUUCACAUUAGUAUAUAAACAGUGGCGGAGCUAGGAUUCUUAGUAUGGAGGGGCCAAAAUUUCAAAAUCACUUCUACUAGGUUUUUCAUCUUCAACUGGGAGGGCCAUCACUAAUCUAAUUGCAGUAAUUGUAUUGCUAUAUCAUAUAUUUUAUAAUAUAUUACAAGAGAUUAAUAAUUAAGUGGGGGGGCCAGGGCCAUGGCAGGCCUGGCUGUAGCUCCGC